rnacentral:rRNA from 1 species
UACGGAGGAGGCAAGCGUUGUUCGGAUUCAUUGGGCGUAAAGGGUGUGUAGGUGGCGCGCUAAGUCGGGUGUGAAAUUUCGGAGCUUAACUCCGAAACUGCAUUCGAUACUGGCGUGCUUGAGGACUGGAGAGGAGACUGGAAUUCAUGGUGUAGCAGUGAAAUGCGUAGAGAUCAUGAGGAAGACCAGUGGCGAAGGCGGGUCUCUGGACAGUUCCUGACACUGAGAAGCGAAAGCAUGGGGAGCGAACAGG